AGUGGGGAAUAUUGCACAAUGGGCGCAAGCCUGAUGCAGCCAUGCCGCGUGUGUGAAGAAGGCCUUCGGGUUGUAAAGCACUUUCAGUCGUGAGGAAGGUGGUAGUGUUAAUAGCGCUAUCAUUUGACGUUAGCGACAGAAGAAGCACCGGCUAACUCCGUGCCAGCAGCCGCGGUAAUACGGAGGGUGCGAGCGUUAAUCGGAAUUACUGGGCGUAAAGCGCAUGCAGGUGGUUUGUUAAGUCAGAUGUGAAAGCCGGGGCUCAACCUCGGAAUAGCAUUUGAAACUGGCAGACUAGAGUACUGUAGAGGGGGGUAGAAUUUCAGGUGUAGCGGUGAAAUGCGUAGAGAUCUGAAGGAAUACCGGUGGCGAAGGCGGCCACCUGGACUGACACUGACGCUGAGGUGCGAAAGCGUGGGUAGCAAACAGGAUUAGAUACCCUGGUAGUCCACGCCGUAAACGAUGUCUACUUGGAGGUUGUGGCCUUGAGCCGUGGCUUUCGGAGCUAACGCGUUAAGUAGACCGCCUGGGGAGUACGGUCGCAAGAUUA
rnacentral:rRNA from 1 species